GUCUAAUAACUGAAACCCCUGUACACAACGUUUAUUCAAACGAACAGAAGCAACGUAUCCACCCAGCAAAAUGUUCAAAGUUAUCAUUGCCUGUGCUGUUCUAUCCUACGUGGCUGCUCAACAUGCCAGCCAUACCCCGCAUCCCCAUACACAGCACCCGCAUUCUAGCCAUGCUCCAAAUAUCCACGAUAACUUCCACUUUAUUCACGAUGCUGCGGAUAACAAAAUGAUCAUCAAAACCGAGAACGAAUGUUAUGUAUUCGAUCUGGAUGCUGCUCAACAAACCGCCAUCACGACCCCAACAGGUCUUAGAGCUACUGAGCUGGCUUUGGUUGCCAUGAUCAGCACUGGUAAACAAACAC